UCCCUCCAGGAUGAUGAGAUCAUCAUCUAUAUACUAGUUGGACUUAGAUCAGAAUUUGACCCCCUGGUGACCUUCAUCAGUACCAGAACUGAUCCUAUAAGUCUCACCGACAUUUAUGCUCAUCUCUUGAGCUAUGAGA